rnacentral:rRNA from 1 species
GCUAUCACUUACAGAUGGACCCGCGGCGCAUUAGCUAGUUGGUGAGGUAACGGCUCACCAAGGCAACGAUGCGUAGCCGACCUGAGAGGGUGAUCGGCCACACUGGGACUGAGACACGGCCCAGACUCCUACGGGAGGCAGCAGUAGGGAAUCUUCCGCAAUGGACGAAAGUCUGACGGAGCAACGCCGCGUGAACGAUGAAGGCCUUCGGGUCGUAAAGUUCUGUUGUUAGGGAAGAACAAGUACCAGAGUAACUGCUGUACCUGACGU